rnacentral:rRNA from 1 species
UUUACGGGAGGCAGCAGUCGAGAAUCAUUCACAAUGGACGAAAGUCUGAUGGUGCAACGCCGCGUGGAGGAUGAAGGACCUAGGUUCGUAAACUCCUGUCAUAUAAGAGUAAGACAUAUUGGGAAUAAUACCCUGAUAUGUUUGAUAGUAUUAUAAGAGGAAGGGACGGCUAACUUCGUGCCAGCAGCCGCGGUAAU